rnacentral:rRNA from 1 species
CAGGAAAAGGAUUUAAGUCCUACCUUAAGUUUCUUCGUAACUCUAAUUACUUCACAAAACUUAAGAGCUAUUCAAAUAAGGUACAGCCUAUUUGAAACAGGAUACAACCUACAACAUUGGGUAAUGAAUUCUGCUUCAUAAUUAAGUGGGCCUAAGAGCAGCCACCUUUAAAAAAGCGUUAAAGCUUUAUUAUACUAGCUCAAUAAUUACAUUAAUCCCCCAAAACCCUUAUCUCAUACUGAAUGAUUUCAUAAUAUUAUGAAAAACCAUAUGCUAGAACUAGUAACAAGAAGAAGACCUUCUCCAAAAAUGUACGUAUAAGCCAAAAUGAACAACUCAUUGGCAUUUACCGCUUAUGAACUAACAGUAGUAACUCAACAAGAAAACUCUACUAUCCAUAACGUUAACCUUACACUAGCACAUUCCCGGAAAGAUUAAAAGGAAGGGAAGGAACUCGGCAAAUAAUAACCUCGCCUGUUUACCAAAAACAUCGCCUCCUGAAUAAUUAUAGGAGGUCCAGCCUGCCCAGUGACAAAGUUAAACGGCCGCGGUACCCUAACCGUGCAAAGGUAGCGCAAUCACUUGUUCUUUAAAUGAGGACUAGUAUGAAUGGCAUCACGAGGGUUAUACUGUCUCCCCCACCUAAUCAGUGAAACUGAUCUUCCCGUGAAGAAGCGGGAAUAGAAUUAUAAGACGAGAAGACCCCAUGGAGCUUUAAACUCAACAUCAACUGCCCUAUAAAUAGCUUAUUAACCACGCAGAUCUGACAGUUAGUUUUCGGUUGGGGUGACCGCGGAGUAAAACAAAACCUCCACGAUGAAAGGAAUUAACCUCCUAAUCUAAGAGCUACAGCUCUAAGAAUCAACAAAUUGACAAAAUUUGAUCCAAAUAUUUUGAUCAACGAACCAAGUUACCCUGGGGAUAACAGCGCAAUCCAUUUCAAGAGCUCAUAUCGACAAAUGGGUUUACGACCUCGAUGUUGGAUCAGGGUAUCCUAGUGGCGCAGCCGCUA